rnacentral:rRNA from 1 species
UACGUAGGGUCCGAGCGUUGUCCGGAAUUAUUGGGCGUAAAGAGCUCGUAGGCGGUUUGUCGCGUCUGCUGUGAAAUCCCGAGGCUCAACCUUGGGUCUGCAGUGGGUACGGGCAGACUGGAGUGCGGUAGGGGAGAAUGGAAUUCCUGGUGUAGCGGUGGAAUGCGCAGAUAUCAGGAGGAACACCGAUGGCGAAGGCAGUUCUCUGGGCCGUAACUGACGCUGAGGAGCGAAAGCGUGGGGAGCGAACAGG